CGGUAAGGACGAAAAAACACGGCCCCGUAGGUAGUCGGGGCGUGCCGGAAACCCGGCACCCGUAACCUGCCUCCCCCGGGAGGUUGUCCGUCGUCCCUCUGUUGGGG
rnacentral:ncRNA from 1 species